AUACGUAUGGUGCGAGCGUUAUUCGGAAUCACUGGGCAUAAAGAGCACGUAGGCGGCUGCAUAAGUAAGUGGUGAAAUCCCUCAGCUCAACUGGGGAACUGCCAUUUAUACUGUGCAUCUAGCAUGCGGGAGGGGCAGAUGGAAUUCCAGGUGGAGCGGUGAAAUGCGUAGAUAUCUGGAGGAACGCCGGAGGCGAAAGCGAUCUGCUGGCCCGAAAUUGACGCUGAGGUGCGAAAGCUAGGGGAGCAAACGGGAUUAGAAACCCUAGUAGUCC
rnacentral:rRNA from 1 species